UGUGAUUAGAAAACAUGAGGAUCAUGACAAAAGAUCAUCUGUGAAAUCUGAUGAAGAGAAGGGAUCAUCUCUCCUAAGAGCUGGCCCUGAAAAGGAAGAAGACAAUCUAAACCCACUCAACCAAAGGUAUACUUGGAUUUCUUUGAGUACCCCAAAGAUCAAUCUUAAAUUAAAUCCU